AUACGUAGGGUGCAAGCGUUAAUCGGAAUUACUGGGCGUAAAGCGUGCGCAGGCGGUUUUGUAAGACAGUGGUGAAAUCCCCGGGCUCAACCUGGGAACUGCCAUUGUGACUGCAAGGCUGGAGUGCGGCAGAGGGGGGUGGAAUUCCGCGUGGAGCAGUGAAAUGCGUAGAUAUGCGGAGGAACACCGAUGGCGAAGGCAAUCCCCUGGGCCUGCACUGACGCUCAUGCACGAAAGCGUGGGGAGCAAACAGGAUUAGAUACCCUGGUAGUCCACGCCCUAAACGAUGUCAACUGGUUGUUGGGGAUUUAUUUUCUCAGUAACGAAGCUAACGCGUGAAGUUGACCGCCUGGGGAGUACGGCCGCAAGGUUAAAACUCAAAGGAAUUGACGGGG
rnacentral:rRNA from 1 species